GCGGACGCCCCAACCCCGUGGCCCCCUCGAACCCCACGUGCUUCCUAAAAACACUUAGAACCGUUCCAAUACCUUUAGUACCACGCUCGGCUCAGGCCCAUCCUCAGCUCAGAGCGCGGUAGCACUGUCCUCCCGCCCAGGAGGUUUAAGGCCUGGCUAAACUCCGCCCCCCACCGCCCUGGCCAAUCAGGAGCCACGUCCUCCGGCGCGCUCCUUUCCCGCCCCGCCUCCCGUCUCCAUGGGAACGAUCUGAGCGUCUACUCCGCGUCCUGGGGCGUCGGUUUCGGUCCCGCCCGGCUGCGGCCGUUGUUUGCUGGGACAGUCCUUGGGCCGGUCUCCGUCCCUGUCCAGAGGCUCCGUACGUGAGGCGGACUCUCGGGAGCACCGAGCCGGGCGCGGAUAAGGGCGAGGACAGCUGUUGCAGGAACGGGGGCAGAAAAGGAGGACCAGGGGCCGAGAAGUCGCUCUGGCUACGAAAUUUCAGACACCGUUGUAAGUGGGUCCUUCACAGCCGCCCGCCCCACGUUAAAACUGAAGAAGAGGUGCAAGGAGGCGGAAGCAGCUUGGGCCUCGGGACCGAGGGUCCUGUGAUCAGCAAGGGAGGACCAGAGAGGCUCAUGCCUCCGUUUUACAGCUCAGCCUUCUCGACCCUCCACCCUUCCCCAAAAAAGGAGCACAAAGGAGCAAGCAGGGGUCACGCCUUUCCUCACAGUCUGACCCGGGUGAGUAGGGGUCUUGUCUCAUCUCCCUCGACUUCUCCAUGGACUGUGGGAGUAGCUGAAGUGGCUGUGGGGACGGAGGGAGCAGACUGAAUAGAAACCGUUCCUCAUGUGCCUGAGAAGCUUUGAGCCUCCUCUUCAGCAGGCCCUGCCUCCUGCCCAGGGCCCUUUCUAACAUUUUUCCCACUUACUCAGCCACUUAGGUCUGCUAUAUAGUCCAUACUGCUCUUGGUGACCAGAGAUAAAUAAGCAUGAGAACGUCUUUCCUGGAAGCUGCUGUGUGACACAGCAGGUGAAAGAUCUGACAUCGCCACAGGUGUGGCACCUGCAGCUCCGGUUCCAUCCCUGGCCCAGGAACGUCCACAUGCUGUGGACGUGGCCAAAGGAAAGAAGGCCUUUCCUUCGCCUCGGGGAAAUCAACCACAUGAGGUUAAUAAAAUUUUAAAAUUAUCACA
rnacentral:lncRNA from 1 species